UACGUAGGGUGCGAGCGUUGUCCGGAAUUACUGGGCGUAAAGAGCUCGUAGGUGGUUUGUCGCGUCGCCUGUGAAAUUCCGGGGCUUAACUUCGGGCGUGCAGGCGAUACGGGCAAUACUUGAGUGCAGAAGAGGGUAGUGGAAUUCCAUGUGUAGCGGUGAAAUGCGUAGAGAUAUGGAGGAACACCAGUGGCGAAGGCGGCUUCCUGGCACAAGACUGACGCUCAUGUGCGAAAGCUAGGGUAGCGAACGGGAUUAGAUACCCCGGUA
rnacentral:rRNA from 1 species